AGAGACAGUUACGCAGUAGCAGUCAUCCUCCGUAGAGGGCGCUCUAGUUUGGAGCGCCAUCCCUGAGAAACACAUUCCUUUUACGGUUUUCCAAAGAUUUUUUAGUUUGUGGGAAAGUAUUCGACUCUCGAUGGUAUGGUGACCAUCACGGGGCUUCCAAAUCCUGAGCGGACUUUGAUGUUUUUUUUUUUUUUUUGCCCGAUAGUGAUUUUUAUGCACAGCGACGGACCGGCGACGUUCCGGGCAUUAGUGCUUCCCCGUAAUGGAGUGUAGGUCAGAAUAAAGGGAGCAAAAGGAGAAGCCGGAAGUGGCGUUGCAGUUGUGGGUUUUGUCGUUUGUGAGACAAUCUUUGAGUGGAGCCCGGCGGCUAACAGAGCUAGCCACGAGUGGGCCUGGGCGGUGGUGCGGGCGCGGCGAGCGGCACAACGCCAUGUGAGGAAACCCAUGCAAACUCCACACAGUAAGAACCUGAGUCAAACCCAGCUCUCAAACUACAGGUCUGGUCAGGUGGCGGGACCAUUCCCACGGCCCUCUCACUGGCAGACCAUCGAGCACACAAGUGUGUGCCAACAGCCAUUUUGUCUGCUGGAGCAGCCCAAGAGGAACUGGCUCAUCUGUCUGGUGUGCUUUACCCAGGCCUCCCCUGUGGGUGCAAGUGUGAGGUGGGGUGAGGCAAGUGAGUUGUUGUCUCUGGAACUGGUGCAUCAUGACUGUGGAAUACCUCUGUCCACACAGCUGAGUGGGUCCGAGGAGUGAGGUGAGUGCUGCAUACAUGGGGUUCUUGCUUUUGUAGGUGGUUAGAUUUUUUUUUUUUUGUUAAAUAAAUUUUACUCAAAGGACUUACAGGUCCAGAAUACUAAUGGUAAACCUAAGACUCUACAGAACAAAAAAACAGAACAGGGCGUUUUAAAUGUUUCUCUUUUAGUGUAUACUGCCAUUACCCAGGAACUAGUAGUGGUUUCUCAUAGCUCCUGGGCUGUGUCAAGUUGGUUUGUUCUUUUCCUGCUCAUGUGGGUUUCCUCUGGGUGCCCCAGUUUCUUCUUGCAGUUGAAAGAUGUUUCAAGUGAACUGAUGACACUUCCCCCCUUAAUGUGUGAAUUAAUGUAUCUGAUUUUCCAGUAAUGCACUGGCAUCACAUGCACGGUGUUCCCUGCCUCACAUCCUGUGCUUCUGAGAGACUCUGAACCACUCUGACCCUGCACUGCACAGGCAGUUAUUGAUAUUUGGCAGAUGGAUAAGUAUACACUGCCAUUAAGAGAUGUAUUUUUUUAACAAUGGCCUGGCCACCUAUUUAGAGGCAUAUGAUUGCUUGGUCACUAAAAAGAAUUUCCUCAGCACUUUGUGGCUUGACCUAUUGU